CAUUAUCGAAAUUAUAGGUGAGGGUUGUAGCUGGCCUCUCGGGGCAUGUGCACGCCCGAGCCCUUAAUCCACACACACCUGUGAACCUAUUGUAAGGGCCCUUAAAAAAGGCCUUUACGUCUUAUCAUCAACCCAUCGUAUGUCUCAUAGAAUGUAAAUAUAUGUCCUCGCCUUAAAAAGCGUUGAUAAACUUAUACAACUUUCAACAACGGAUCUCUUGGCUCUCGCAUCGAUGAAGAACGCAGCGAAAUGCGAUAAGUAAUGUGAAUUGCAGAUUUUCAGUGAAUCAUCGAAUCUUUGAACGCACCUUGCGCUCCUUGGUAUUCCGAGGAGCAUGCCUGUUUGAGUGUCAUUAAAUUCUCAACUCUGAUCGAUUUGUUUCGACUUCGGAGCUUGGAUUUGGAGCGUGCUGGCGUCGGUCGGCUCCUCUUAAAUGCAUCAGCGGAAUCUAACGUUUCGGACGUCAGUGUGAUAAUCAUGUUGCGCUGUCUGUCUGAUCCGAAAGCCCGCUCACAAUGGUCUUCGGACAACUUCAUAUCAAAUUUGACCUCAAAUCAGGUAGGACUACCCGCUGAACUUAA
rnacentral:rRNA from 1 species